rnacentral:rRNA from 1 species
UACGAACGCUGGCGGCGUGCCUAAUACAUGCAAGUUGAGCGCUGAAGGUUGGUACUUGUACCAACUGGAUGAGCAGCGAACGGGUGAGUAACGCGUGGGGAAUCUGCCUUUGAGCGGGGGACAACAUUUGGAAACGAAUGCUAAUACCGCAUAAAAACUUUAAACACAAGUUUUAAGUUUGAAAGAUGCAAUUGCAUCACUCAAAGAUGAUCCCGCGUUGUAUUAGCUAGUUGGUGAGGUAAAGGCUCACCAAGGCGAUGAUACAUAGCCGACCUGAGAGGGUGAUCGGCCACAUUGGGACUGAGACACGGCCCAAACUCCUACGGGAGGCAGCAGUAGGGAAUCUUCGGCAAUGGACGAAAGUCUGACCGAGCAACGCCGCGUGAGUGAAGAAGGUUUUCGGAUCGUAAAACUCUGUUGGUAGAGAAGAACGUUGGUGAGAGUGGAAAGCUCAUCAAGUGACGGUAACUACACAGAAAGGGACGGCUAACUACGUG